AUUGAACGCUGGCGGCAGGCCUAACACAUGCAAGUCGAGCGAGCGGCGGGCGGGAGAGUAACGUAUGGGGAUCAGCCCGAAAGAGGGGGAUAACUCCGGGAACCGGUGGCUAAUACCGCAAACUUGCCGAUUAACCAAUGUGGGAUUAGCUAGUAGGUGGGGUAAAGGCUCACCAAGGCCACGAUCUAUAGCUGGUCUGAGAGGUUGAUCGGCCACACUGGAACUGAGACACGGCCCAGACUCCUACGGGAGGCAGCAGUAGGGAAUAUUGCACAAUGGGCGAAAGCCUGAUGCAGCCAUGCCGCGUGUGUGAAGAAGGUCUUCGGGUUGUAAAGCUCUUUUAGCGGGGAGGCGUUACCCGCAGAGGAAGCACCGGCUAACUCCGUGCCAGCAGCCGCGGUAAUAC
rnacentral:rRNA from 1 species